rfam:Thelohanellus kitauei scaffold00460, whole genome shotgun sequence.
AUCCCUGUGGCCUAAUGGAUAUGGCAUUGGCCUCCUAAGCCAGGGAUUGCGGGUUCGAGUCCCGCCAGGGAUG